GAUGAACGCUGGCGGCGUGCCUAAUACAUGCAAGUCGAGCGAACAGACGAGGAGCUUGCUCCUCUGACGUUAGCGGCGGACGGGUGAGUAACACGUGGAUAACCUACCUAUUAGACUGGGAUAACUUCGGGAAACCGUAGCUAAUACCGGAUAAUAUAGUGAACCGCAUGGUUCAUUAGUGAAAGACGCUUUUGCUGUCACUUAUAGAUGACUCCGCGCCGAUUUAGCUAUUUGUUAAGGUAACGGCUUACCAAGGCAACGAUGCGUAGCCGACCUGAGAGGGUGACCGGCCACACUGGAACUGAGACACGGUCCAGACUCCUACGGGAGGAACCAGUAGGGAAUCUUCGGCAAUGGGGGAAAGCUUGACGGAGCAACGCCGCGUAAGUGAUGAAGGUCUUCGGAUCGUAAAACUCUGUUAUUAGGGAAGAACAAAUGUGUAAGUAACUAUGCACGUCUUGACGGUACCUAAUCAGAAAGCCACGGCUAACUACGUG
rnacentral:rRNA from 1 species